rnacentral:rRNA from 1 species
AUGCAAGUCGAACGGUAGCACAGAGGAGCUUGCUCCUCGGGUGACGAGUGGCGGACGGGUGAGUAAUGUCUGGGGAUCUGCCCGAUGGAGGGGGAUAACCACUGGAAACGGUGGCUAAUACCGCAUAACGUCGCAAGACCAAGUGGGGGACCUUCGGGCCUCACACCAUCGGAUGAACCCAGAUGGGAUUAGCUAGUAGGUGGGGUAACGGCUCACCUAGGCGACGAUCCCUAGCUGGUCUGAGAGGAUGACCAGCCACACUG